rnacentral:rRNA from 1 species
AUUGAACGCUGGCGGCAUGCCUAACACAUGCAAGUCGAGCGCUUCUCGGUUUCGGCCGAGGGGAGCGGCGCACGGGUGAGUAACGCGUGGGAAUAUGCCCUGGGGCUGGGGAUAACGGCGGGAAACUGCCGCUAAUACCCGGUACGCCUUGAGAGGGAAAGGAGCAAUCCGCCCUGGGAGUAGCCCGCGUUGGAUUAGCUAGUUGGUGUGGUAACGGCGCACCAAGGCGACGAUCCAUAGCUGGUCUGAGAGGAUGAUCAGCCACACUGGGACUGAGACACGGCCCAGACUCCUACGGGAGGCAGCAGUGGGGAAUAUUGGACAAUGGGGGCAACCCUGAUCCAGCCAUGCCGCGUGAGUGAAGAAGGCCUUAGGGUUGUAAAGCUCUUUCGGCGGGGACGAUGAUGACGGUACCCGCAGAAGAAGCCCCGGCUAACUUCGUGCCAGCCGCCGCAGUAACAC